rnacentral:rRNA from 1 species
UACAGAGGUCUCAAGCGUUGUUCGGAUUCAUUGGGCGUAAAGGGUGCGUAGGCGGCGCGGUAAGUCGGGUGUGAAAUCUCGGAGCUUAACUCCGAAACUGCAUUCGAUACUGCCGUGCUUGAGGACUGGAGAGGAGACUGGAAUUUACGGUGUAGCGGUGAAAUGCGUAGAUAUCGGGAGGAACACCAGUGGCGAAGGCGGCGACCUGGACAGAUAUUGACGCUGAGGUGCGAAAGCGUGGGGAGCAAACAGG